ensembl:lncRNA
GUCCAUCACCCUUGACCAGUGACUCACAAACGACUAUGACACACGUUCAUCGUGUGGUAGCCAGUCUCCAGUGGCCGCAUCUUCUGGGACACCAAGGAACUACAUCUGUGAAGAUGCCCACUUAGUAAUGAACGGAAACCUCCUUCACCAAACAGCAAGGAGUUGAGGCUUGCCAGUAGUCAGGCGAGUGAGCUGGGAAAAGAAUUCUAACUCCAGAUGAUCCUUCAAAUGGCGGCAACUCCAGGAGAUAGUCUGAAUACAGUGUUGUGAGAGAUGCUGAGCUGCAAUCACAGUGAAGCUGCUCCUGGAGUCUCAAAUCUCAAAAACUGUAUAAGAAAAUUCCUCCUUUUAUAAAUUAUAAGUAAAGUUGAUGUGUUUGUUGUUUUAAACUGUUAAGUUUUAGAGUCAUUUGCUGCCAAGCAGUAAAUAACUAAUACAACAUGAGUAAGAAGUAAACUUUCACUGAGCCACUGGGAUUGUUUGUUACAGUACUUAACACUGACUAAUACAGCUGCUGCUGCUGCUGCUAAGUCGCCUCAGUCAUGUCUGACUCUGUGCGACCCCACAGACGGCAGCCCACGAGGCUCCCCCAUCCCUGGGAUUCUCCCGGGCAAGAAUACUGGAGUGGGUUGCCAUUUCCUUCUCCAAUGCAUGAAAGUGAAAAGUGAAAGUGAAGUCGCUCAGUCAUGUCCGACUCUUAGCGACCCCAUGGACUGCAGCCUACCAGGCUCCUCCGUCCAUGGGAUUUUCCAGGCAAGAGUACUGGAGUGGGGUGCCAUUGCCUUCUCCGGACUAAUAUAUCAGGGUGAUGCUUACAGUAACUGUGGACAUACAGUGAGCAGCACUCUAAGCUCUCUAAGGGUAAAGGCUUUGGUUUGUUCCUCUUUGAUAUUUCACUGCCUAACACAGUGCCUGGACAAGGGUAAGCAUUGAACAAAUGAUAAAUAACGCAUGUGGCUUUCAGUAAGAUGCAACGUGUGGUCCUAUGUAUGGAAUGUAUAACUUUAAGGUUAGAUGGCAUUAAAUGCACUCUAUUCAGGGUCAGAAAAAUUCUACAAUUGUAUUCCUACCAAAUAUGUAGACUGUAGUUGAUCAAACAUUCAUCCAAAGAACAGAACUCAGUCAUCUAGUUAUGUAUGUAUUAUUUCCAGACCAAGUACUCUGCUGCUGCUGCUAAGUCGCUUCAGUCGUGUCCGACUCUAUGCAACCCCAUAGACGGCAGCCCACCAGGCUCCCCUGUCUCUGGGAUUCUGCAGGCAAGAACACUGGAGUGGGUUGCCAUUUCCUUCUCCAAUGCAUGAAAGUGAAAAGUGAAAGGGAAGUUGCUCAGUUGUGUCCCACUCCUAGCGACUCCAAGGACUGCAGCCUACCAGGCUCCUCCGUCCAUGGGAUUUUCCAGGCAAGAGUCCUGGAGUGGGGUGCCAUUGCCUUCUCCGAGACCAAGUACUCUAAUAGGUAUUAAUACAUCUGUUAAUUUAAUCUUUAUAAAGAGUGUGCUAUUGCUCUUCUGGGUUUACUAAUGAGAAAACAAACUCAAGAAAGUUAAGCACUUCAUCCCGGAUUUCAGAGCAAUUCAGUAGCAGAGGCUGUGCUUGAUGUGUGAAUUGCAAAUACCAAGGAUCAUGUGUGCAUGCUAAGUCGCUUCAGUUGUGUCCGACUCUGGAGUGGGUUGCCGUAACUUCCUCCAGGGGAUCUUCCCGACCCAGAGAUCAAACCCAUGUCUCUUAGGCCUCCUGCAUUGGCAGGUGGUUCUUUACUACUAGUGCCACUUUAUGCUAGGUUGCUCCCUGAAUUGAAUUCUCAAAAGAAACAGGACAGAGCUCCAAAAUCUAAGAAAAGGCUGUUAAAUUGAUGGCGUGGAUUAAAAGAUAACCCUAUGAAGAUAGAAUAGAAUAAUCAAGACAGGCCUUGAGAGAUUCCUAUUAAGAGGUGCUAAGAUCAAAGUUUCUAAAGUCCUGGAGGACCUGGACUGAGUCGUCCCUCAAACUGAUAAACAUUCCAGGGAUGGGACCUCA